rnacentral:tRNA from 1 species
AGUUAAUGAGCUUGAAUAAGCAUAUAUUUUGAAAAUAUAAGAUAAAAUAUUUAUUUUAUUAACUU